rnacentral:rRNA from 1 species
AGAGUUUGAUCCUGGCUCAGGAUGAACGCUGGCGGUCUGCUUAACACAUGCAAGUCGAACGCAAGUAGCAAUACUUGAGUGGCGGACGGGUGAGUAACGCGUGAGAAUCUGCCUUUUGGUCGGGGACAACCAUUGGAAACGAUGGCUAAUACCCGAUGUGCCUAUGGGUGAAAGAUUUAUUGCCAGAAGAGGAGCUCGCGUCUGAUUAGCUAGUUGGUAGGGUAAAAGCCUACCAAGGCAUCGAUCAGUAGCUGGUCUGAGAGGAUGACCAGCCACACUGGGACCGAGACACGGCCCAGACUCCUACGGGAGGCAGCAGUGGGGAAUUUUCCGCAAUGGGCGAAAGCCUGACGGAGCAAGACCGCGUGAGGGAGGAAGGCUCUUGGGUCGUAAACCUCUUUUGUCAGGGAAGAACACAAUGACGGUACCUGACGAAUCAGCCUCGGCUAACUCCGUGCCAGCAGCCGCGGUAAUACGGAGGAGGCAAGCGUUAUCCGGAAUUAUUGGGCGUAAAGCGUCCGCAGGUGGCACCUCAAGUCUGCUGUCAAAGACCGGGGCUUAACCCCAGAAAGGCAGUGGAAACUGAAGUGCUAGAGUGCAGUAGGGGUAGAGGGAAUUCCCGGUGUAGCGGUGAAAUGCGUAGAGAUCGGGAAGAACAUCGGUGGCGAAAGGCUCUGCUGGACUGCAACUGACACUCAGGGACGAAAGCUAGGGGAGCGAAUGGGAUUAGAUACCCUAGUAGUCC